CCUACGGGAGGCAGCAGUGGGGAAUAUUGCACAAUGGGGGAAACACUGAUGCAGCGAAGCAGCGUGAGUGAAGAAGUAAUUCGUUAUGUAAAGCUCUAUCAGCAGGGAAGAAAAUGACGGUACCUGAGUAAGAAGCCCCGGAGAACUACGUGCCAGCGGCCGCGGUCAUACGUAGGGGGCAAGCGUUAUCCGGAUUUACUUGGUGUAAAGGGAGAGUAGACGGCAGUGCAAGUCUGGAGUGAAAGGCGGGGGACCAACCCCCGGAAUGCUCUGGAAACUGUACGGCUGGAGUGCAGGAGAGGUAAGUGGAAUUCCUAGGGUAGCGGUGAAAUGCGUAGAUAUUAGG
rnacentral:rRNA from 1 species